rnacentral:misc_RNA from 1 species
UCCGGCUUAUCACCGGCAGUCGCCUUAGAGUGCCCAACUAAAUGAUGGCAACUAAGGCCGAGGGUUUCGCUCGUUAUAGGACUUGACCAAACAUCUCACGACACGAGCUGACGACAGCCAUGCAGCACCUGUGUUCAGGUUCUCUUUCGAGCACGUCACCAUCUCUGGCGACUUCCUGACAUGUCAAGGGUAGGUAAGGUUUUUCGCGUUGCAUCGAAUUAAUCCACAUCAUCCACCGCUUGUGCGGGUCCCCGUCAAUUCCUUUGAGUUUUAAUCUUGCGACCGUACUCCCCAGGCGGUCGACUUCACGCGUUAGCUGCGUUACCGAAGGAGUUACCCUCCGACAACUAGUCGACAUCGUUUAGGGCGUGGACUAC